UACGGGGGGGGCAAGCGUUGUUCGGAAUUACUGGGCGUAAAGGGCUCGUAGGUGGCGCGCUAAGUCAGGUGUGAAAUCUCGGGGCUUAACUCCGAAACUGCAUUCGAUACUGGCGUGCUUGAGGACUGGAGAGGAGACUGGAAUUCAUGGUGUAGCAGUGAAAUGCGUAGAGAUCAUGAGGAAGACCAGUGGCGAAGGCGGGUCUCUGGACAGUUCCUGACACUGAGACACGAAGGCCAGGGGAGCAAACGGG
rnacentral:rRNA from 1 species